GGUUAAGCGACUAAGCGUACACGGUGGAUGCCCUGGCAGUCAGAGGCGAUGAAGGACGUGCUAAUCUGCGAAAAGCGUCGGUAAGGUGAUAUGAACCGUUAUAACCGGCGAUGUCCGAAUGGGGAAACCCAGUGCAAUUCGUUGCACUAUCGUUAACUGAAUACAUAGGUUAACGAGGCGAACCGGGGGAACUGAAACAUCUAAGUACCCCGAGGAAAAGAAAUCAACCGAGAUUCCCCCAGUAGCGGCGAGCGAACGGGGAGCAGCCCAGAGUCUGAAUCAGCUUGUGUGUUAGUGGAACGGUCUGGAAAGUCCGACGGUACAGGGUGAUAGUCCCGUACACCAAAAUGCACAGGUUGUGAACUCGAAGAGUAGGGCGGGACACGUGGUAUCCUGUCUGAAUAUGGGGGGACCAUCCUCCAAGGCUAAAUACUCCUGACUGACCGAUAGUGAACCAGUACCGUGAGGGAAAGGCGAAAAGAACCCCGGCGAGGGGAGUGAAAAAGAACCUGAAACCGUGUACGUACAAGCAGUGGGAGCACCUUCGGGUGUGACUGCGUACCUUUUGUAUAAUGGGUCAGCGACUUAUAUUCUGUAGCAAGGUUAACCGUAUAGGGGAGCCGCAGGGAAACCGAGUCUUAACUGGGCGUUAAGUUGCAGGGUAUAGACCCGAAACCCGGUGAUCUAGCCAUGGGCAGGUUGAAGGUUGGGUAACACUAACUGGAGGACCGAACCGACUAAUGUUGAAAAAUUAGCGGAUGACUUGUGGCUGGGGGUGAAAGGCCAAUCAAACCGGGAGAUAGCUGGUUCUCCCCGAAAGCUAUUUAGGUAGCGCCUCGUGAACUCAUCUUCGGGGGUAGAGCACUGUUUCGGCUAGGGGGUCAUCCCGACUUACCAACCCGAUGCAAACUACGAAUACCGAAGAAUGUUAUCACGGGAGACACACGGCGGGUGCUAACGUCCGUCGUGAAGAGGGAAACAACCCAGACCGCCAGCUAAGGUCCCAAAGUCAUGGUUAAGUGGGAAACGAUGUGGGAAGGCACAGACAGCCAGGAUGUUGGCUUAGAAGCAGCCAUCAUUUAAAGAAAGCGUAAUAGCUCACUGGUCGAGUCGGCCUGCGCGGAAGAUGUAACGGGGCUAAACCAUGCACCGAAGCUGCGGCAGCGACACUAUGUGUUGUUGGGUAGGGGAGCGUUCUGUAAGCCUGCGAAGGUGACCUGUGAGGGUUGCUGGAGGUAUCAGAAGUGCGAAUGCUGACAUAAGUAACGAUAAAGCGGGUGAAAAGCCCGCUCGCCGGAAGACCAAGGGUUCCUGUCCAACGUUAAUCGGGGCAGGGUGAGUCGACCCCUAAGGCGAGGCCGAAAGGCGUAGUCGAUGGGAAACAGGUUAAUAUUCCUGUACUUGGUGUUACUGCGAAGGGGGGACGGAGAAGGCUAUGUUAGCCGGGCGACGGUUGUCCCGGUUUAAGCAUGUAGGCUGGUUGUCCAGGCAAAUCCGGAUAAUCAAGGCUGAGGUGUGAUGACGAGGCACUACGGUGCUGAAGUAACAAAUGCCCUGCUUCCAGGAAAAGCCUCUAAGCAUCAGGUAGCAUCAAAUCGUACCCCAAACCGACACAGGUGGUCAGGUAGAGAAUACCAAGGCGCUUGAGAGAACUCGGGUGAAGGAACUAGGCAAAAUGGUGCCGUAACUUCGGGAGAAGGCACGCUGGUGUGUAGGUGAAGUCCCUGCGGAUGGAGCUGAGACCAGUCGAAGAUACCAGCUGGCUGCAACUGUUUAUUAAAAACACAGCACUGUGCAAACACGAAAGUGGACGUAUACGGUGUGACGCCUGCCCGGUGCCGGAAGGUUAAUUGAUGGGGUUAUCCGUAAGGAGAAGCUCUUGAUCGAAGCCCCGGUAAACGGCGGCCGUAACUAUAACGGUCCUAAGGUAGCGAAAUUCCUUGUCGGGUAAGUUCCGACCUGCACGAAUGGCGUAAUGAUGGCCAGGCUGUCUCCACCCGAGACUCAGUGAAAUUGAACUCGCUGUGAAGAUGCAGUGUACCCGCGGCAAGACGGAAAGACCCCGUGAACCUUUACUAUAGCUUGACACUGAACAUUGAGCCUUGAUGUGUAGGAUAGGUGGGAGGCUUUGAAGCGUGGACGCCAGUCUGCGUGGAGCCAACCUUGAAAUACCACCCUUUAAUGUUUGAUGUUCUAACGUUGGCCCCUUACCGGGGUUGCGGACAGUGUCUGGUGGGUAGUUUGACUGGGGCGGUCUCCUCCCAAAGCGUAACGGAGGAGCACGAAGGUUAGCUAAUCCUGGUCGGACAUCAGGAGGUUAGUGCAAUGGCAUAAGCUAGCUUGACUGCGAGCGUGACGGCGCGAGCAGGUGCGAAAGCAGGUCAUAGUGAUCCGGUGGUUCUGAAUGGAAGGGCCAUCGCUCAACGGAUAAAAGGUACUCCGGGGAUAACAGGCUGAUACCGCCCAAGAGUUCAUAUCGACGGCGGUGUUUGGCACCUCGAUGUCGGCUCAUCACAUCCUGGGGCUGAAGUAGGUCCCAAGGGUAUGGCUGUUCGCCAUUUAAAGUGGUACGCGAGCUGGGUUUAGAACGUCGUGAGACAGUUCGGUCCCUAUCUGCCGUGGGCGCUGGAGAAUUGAGGGGGGCUGCUCCUAGUACGAGAGGACCGGAGUGGACGCAUCACUGGUGUUCGGGUUGUCAUGCCAAUGGCACUGCCCGGUAGCUAAAUGCGGAAGAGAUAAGUGCUGAAAGCAUCUAAGCACGAAACUUGCCCCGAGAUGAGUUCUCCCUGAGACUUUAAGUCUCCUGAAGGAACGUUAAAGACGAUGACGUUGAUAGGCCGGGUGUGUAAGCGCAGCGAUGCGUUGAGCUAACCGGUACUAAUGAACCGUGAGGCUUAACCUU
rnacentral:rRNA from 1 species